UGCAACCCUGCCUGACCUGUGAGCCAGCCUGUGGAAGGAGGAGCAGAUGGGAAUCACUGCCCUUGGGAUGUGCUCUGGGAUCCCCCAUCUAGGUAUCUCCCAUGACCCCUGGCGGCCUCGCUGCCUGUUUCUCACCGAAGUCAGUCGAAGGAUCUGCAGCCUUCUCGCUGCCAUCACAAUGCAUGGAGCUCUCCCCCAGGAGGGAAGCAAUGUCUUCUCCGAAGUCAGUCGAAGGAUCUGCAGCCUUCUCGCUGCCAUCACAAUGCAUGGAGCUCUCCCCCAGGAGGGAAGCAAUGUCUUCUCCGAAGUCAGUCGAAGGAUCUGCAGCCUUCUCGCUGCCAUCACAAUGCAUGGAGCUCUCCCCCAGGAGGGAAGCAAUGUCUUCUCCAAAGAUCUGGAGGCAAUUCUCAAUCAAAAAUUGCACAAGAGAAAUCU
rnacentral:lncRNA from 1 species